AUAUUAAUAAGCAAGGGAAAAGAAAUCAACUGAGAUUGCCUUAGUAAUGGCGAAUGAACCGGCAAGAGCUCAUUGCUGAAGCGUGUUAAAUUCACUUUUGACAUGCAUUGUAGCAUUUGGGGUAACUAUUGUAUGGUACCUGUUCGUGUGAGUUCCCUUGAUCAGGGCUUUAACCAUAGAAGGUGCUAGUCCUAUAAUCACGAAUAGUUUUGUGCUGUACAUUGUAUACCUUUCGAGUAGCGUAGUUUGAGUA
rnacentral:rRNA from 1 species